rnacentral:rRNA from 1 species
CCUGCAAGUCGAACGGAAACAUGUCUAGCUUGCUAGAUGAUGUCGAGUGGCGGACGGGUGAGUAAUGCUUGGGAACUUGCCUUUGCGAGGGGGAUAACAGUUGGAAACGACUGCUAAUACCGCAUAAUGUCUUCGGACCAAACGGGGCUUCGGCUCCGGCGCAAAGAGAGGCCCAAGUGAGAUUAGCUAGUUGGUGAGGUAAAGGCUCACCAAGGCAACGAUCUCUAGCUGUUCUGAGAGGAAGAUCAGCCACACUGGGACUGAGACACGGCCCAGACUCCUACGGGAGGCAGCAGUGGGGAAUAUUGCACAAUGGGGGAAACCCUGAUGCAGCCAUGCCGCGUGUGUGAAGAAGGCCUUCGGGUUGUAAAGCACUUUCAGUUGUGAGGAAAAGUUAGUAGUUAAUACCUGCUAGCCGUGACGUUAACAACAGAAGAAGCACCGGCUAACUCCGUGCCAGCAGCCGCGGUAAUACGGAGGGUGCGAGCGUUAAUCGGAAUUACUGGGCGUAAAGCGCACGCAGGCGGUUUGUUAAGCUAGAUGUGAAAGCCCCGGGCUCAACCUGGGACGGUCAUUUAGAACUGGCAGACUAGAGUCUUGGAGAGGGGAGUGGAAUUCCAGGUGUAGCGGUGAAAUGCGUAGAUAUCUGGAGGAACAUCAGUGGCGAAGGCGACUCCCUGGCCAAAGACUGACGCUCAUGUGCGAAAGUGUGGGUAGCGAACAGGAUUAGAUACCCUGGUAGUCCACACCGUAAACGCUGUCUACUAGCUGUUUGUGACUUUAAGUCGUGAGUAGCGAAGCUAACGCGAUAAGUAGACCGCCUGGGGAGUACGGCCGCAAGGUUAAAACUCAAAUGAAUUGACGGGGGCCCGCACAAGCGGUGGAGCAUGUGGUUUAAUUCGAUGCAACGCGAAGAACCUUACCUACACUUGACAUGUUGAGAAUUACC